rnacentral:lncRNA from 1 species
CUUCAUCCUGUAUACGUAUACACGUAUAUAGUACGUUAUACUAGUGUAAAAAAGAGAAUGGAAAGUAUCACGAGAGGGCUUCAUUUGUCUUCGUCGUUGGCAGUAAUGAGUAAGCGUUUAAAUGGCAAGAAUGAUAAAUCAGAGAUUAAGCAUGUUAAAUCGUUAUAUCGACGUAGUACGAUCGAAGAUAUUUGAUGAGAAAUUUAUAAAUAUAAAUAAGAAAAAAAAAAAAAAGAAAAGAAAAAAGAGAAAAAGGGAAAAGAAAAAUUUGGUCAAUUUUCUCGUUUGACGAAUCACCACAACUGAAAAUGAAAAAUUCGUGUAUAUCGUGGAUAGUUAACGAGCUUGCAAGCUCGAGUUAAAAGCCUUACGAAAAGGCUACGCGAGGAUUAAGAUAUCACGGGGAUUACUACGAACGCAUUUCGAACUCGACUCCGAGUAGAAGUUAGCGGGGAAGGAAAGAGAAAAAAAGAUGAGAGGAGGAGGAGGAAGAGGCUUAAUGUGCAUCAAUGGUGUAUUAACAUCCCUUAGGAGCGGACGACUAAUUGCAUAAAGCCGUAUAAUCCGCGAGAUUCCGCUUAACAAAGCCGCACCGCGUUGGAUUAUAUCAAUUAGAGGCUCGUGCAAGAGACUUGGAGAGGGAAGAAUGAGUAAAACAGAAAAAAAAACCACGAAG